CUGAGUUUGACAGAUUUUUAUCUAGGCUAAAUUCACUAUUACCUCUACCUUCUGGUUGGGACAAAUAAUUUAGAGGUGGCAUGUUAAAACAGAGCAGAAAAGCCAGGCGUGACCACUGCGCCCGGCCAAGUAGUCUUAAGUAGUACAACAGCAAUGAACUUUACAGAAAAGUGUAGAUUUAACAUUCUAACAACAUAGAUGCGUAAGUUCUGAAUUUCAAAAUGUACAGAAGGAUCGAGUUCUCACAUGUUCACAGUGCAGUUCUUAGUAGGCAGAUCAUAGUAAUAAAACACACAAGUUAUAAAUUUUAAUUUCUAGUUAACAUAAAUUCUACUCGCCCAGACCAUAUUUUGUUCUCAGCUCAUUCAUAUUCUCUGAUUGGGUCUGAAGUCCAAGAAGAGCUGGAAGUGAAGAUAACCUGAAAUGCAGGAUGUUUUCCCCUCCUUUCCCUGCUCUCUCAACAGAGAUAUGACUGCUAUACAACGCCUAUAAAGCUACAAGGAAAAGACAUUUUUGUUUUUAGGCUGUGUGUGCUUGAUGUUCUAAAAAGCAAUCAUUUCCAUCUGUAGUAUGUACUGGGUUACAGAAAGAAAAGAAAAGCCAGGACAGAAGACAAAAGGACUUACAAGCUCUCCUGAGUUGUCCUCUUAAUUAUCAUAUCUGAAGUGUACUGUCAGUGCCAAACCUCAAACAUAACUCUUUGAUAAAACAGGCAAUGCAUUCUAAAACCAGUAAAAUUUUGUUUACAUAUAAAUGUAGUUACAUCAAGUAAGAGAAAGAGUGAGAUCUAUUCUACCACACCUAAAACCCAUCAUGUUUUAGCAGCCUAAAAGUAUUUUGAAAAGAAUGGCACUUUUGUCUUCCCUUCCUGGGACAGAAAUCAUUAUGUCUAGUAGGACAAGAGAGGUAUUUAUCAUACCAUUCCCAGCAC
rnacentral:lncRNA from 1 species